ACGGGUGCGUAACGCGUGGGAAUCUGCCCUUGGGUUCGGAAUAACAGUGAGAAAUUACUGCUAAUACCGGAUGAUGUCUUCGGACCAAAGAUUUAUCGCCCAGGGAUGAGCCCGCGUAGGAUUAGCUAGUUGGUGGAGUAAUGGCCUACCAAGGCGACGAUCCUUAGCUGGUCUGAGAGGAUGAUCAGCCACACUGGGACUGAGACACGGCCCAGACUCCUACGGGAGGCAGCAGUGGGGAAUAUUGGACAAUGGGCGAAAGCCUGAUCCAGCAAUGCCGCGUGAGUGAUGAAGGCCUUAGGGUUGUAAAGCUCUUUUACCCGGGAUGAUAAUGACAGUACCGGGAGAAUAAGCUCCGGCUAACUCCGUGCCAGCAGCCGCGGUAAUACGGAGGGAGCUAGCGUUGUUCGGAAUUACUGGGCGUAAAGCGCGCGUAGGCGGCUGCUCAAGUCAGAGGUGAAAGCCCGGGGCUCAACCCCGGAACUGCCUUUGAAACUAGGUAGCUAGAAUCUUGGAGAGGUCAGUGGAAUUCCGAGUGUAGAGGUGAAAUUCGUAGA
rnacentral:rRNA from 1 species